UGUCGCUAAGAAACAAGGAUAUUUUCGGUGUUCUGAGAGGAAGGUGUAGUGAGUGCGAAGAUUGCAAAGAAUACAAACAUCAUUCACCGCAGCUGAAGUGCCUAUAUUGUAGCCACAGCCCUGGUUCACACAAUAAGCUUCAUAUACUGGAUGGAGCAGAAUUAGAUGCCGUAAAAAAGGCCGCCUCUUGAGGCUCAGGUGCCACACGGCACAUGGAUAGAAGGAAGUUCUUCGAGCGGAGGGCAGUGGCUGGAGGGCUCAUCAGAAAGCGGAUCCCACAUGCAGGUUCACAGGCCGUCACCUGCGCAAUGGCGUAGCUCACACAAACUCGUCUCAGAGCGCCUUCCACGCUGAUAACGCAGCUGUCAACCAGCUUCUGAUACUGUUCGAGGUUACCUUGAUAAUUUGAGUUUGCUCACAGAUCUGAUGUUCAUUAUGCCUGAGCCA